ensembl:lincRNA
UGUUACUAUAAAAGCCAUUGUUUUAUUAUUUCCAAAAAUUAUAUAUUUCCAGAGAAGUACAUUUACAAGAGUAUGGAAUGAUGAGCCAAAAUUGCUAUGUCUUUUUACUCACCCUUACUUGGCCCUUUCUCAUAUUCAUGUAACUGUAUCAGUAGUGGAUAACAGGUUGCCAUUCUUGGAUAAGCUGUGAGAAACCAUCUGGUAACUACUGAAGCCAGCCCAGGACUAUUGCAAAGGCAUAACCUUUACCUAAAGAAUCAGAGAACAUCACUUGAGUGGGUUUUGUUAUUUCUCUUAGUAUCAGAUGCUUUGCACAAAUUGGAUGAUGAUUUUUACCAGUUUAUUUUUUUCUAGGUUGCAGAGCUCAGUCUGGACUCACUAGGUAGUCACCAAGAACUGCAAACAGCAGGCCAAAAGCCAAGAAACACGACAGAAGUUCAGCCCAAACACGAGUGUUUUAGAAUGCUUGAACUUAGUGGGUCAGAAGUUCCUUUUUGUGGUACAGGAGAAAGGCGCUACUGAACUUUCUUCUUAUGAAAACUGUGAAACUAUUAAGUGCCUUUCAAAUAAAGAGGUGAGUGACCUACUCUACUUUUGUGGGUUGCAUUCUUUUGUAGGUUGCAUUCAGAACAAAAGAGAAUGUAUUCCUUUGCAUCCCAUGCAAGUAUCAAGCUUUUUUGCAUCAGCAUCUCUGGCCACAAUUAUUUUUUUCAUUAGCAUCUCUGGACACAAUUAGUAAGUAUGGCUACUAUCUCAUCUUGUAUAGAGAGCUGUAAGUCCCAUUUAGUGCAUAGAAGCAGAACUGCCAGCUGCCAGUAUCUCUGCUUCCAGACCCUAGUAGACCUGUGGCUUGGCUUGCGUACUACUUUAAAUUUCUGUUCUGUUUCUGGUUUAUGGAAAUCUUUAUUUUUGUUUUGAGACUAAAUAUAUCCUUUUGGUUUUUUGCUUUCUAUAUUUUAUCAUUGAUGUAUGUGUAAAACAAGGAUUUCAUCAAAAAGAUAUACAUCGUGUUUAUAAUUUUAUUUGGAAAUAAUUUCAAAUUUACAGAAAACUUUCUUGAAUGAUAGUUCUGUGUACCUCUACUUGAAUCACCUUUUAUUAACAGUCUGCUGCAUUUGCUUUAAUGUGUAUAGUUAUAUUCUCUCACUCACUCUCUUCUUACAGGAUGGUUACACUUUUCCUUUCCCACUUUCUCUCCUCCUCUCUGUAUGACAUUUUCUUACCCAUUUGAGAAUAAGCUAUACACAGCCUGGUACUUUACUGCUAAUUACUUCAGUUUGUAUUUCAUGGAAAUAAACAUACCAAAGCCAGGGCCUCAUACAUGCUAGGCACAUUUUCUACCACUGAACUACAGUCCCAGCCUUUAUUCGUUAGUUUUAAGUAAUUUGACUAUGAGGUAAUUUGGUGUGACUUUUUUCUUUCUUGUGCUUAUAGCUUGGUAAGCUUCUGUGAUUGGUGAAUGUAUCAUUUUUAUUGUUACAAAAACUUUUGACCGUUACUCGUUUUUUCUUUCACUACUUGCCUCUCCUUUAGGGAUUCCCAUUAUAGAUGCAUUAGGAUGUUAGAAUUGCCCUAUGUCUCAUCGAUGAUGUGUUCAUUUUUUUCCAAUUUUUUUUUGUUUUAGGUAUUUUUCGUUGCUAUGUCUUCAAGUUCCCUAAUCAUUUCUCUUGCAGUAUCUAAUCUACCGAUAAUCUUAUCCAAUUUACUUUUACCUCAAACACUAAUUUUAAUUUCUGCAGGUUAAAUUGGCUCUCUUAGAUCCAUGUCUUUAGUGUACCUCACACUUUCUUCUAGCCUUUUGAAUUUCAGAGUAUAGUUAUAGUUACCAUUUUCACAUCUUUACCUAUUAAUUUGAUGUUCUAUGUCAUAUGUGGAUUAGCUUUAACUGAUUUUUUUUUAACCAAUACUGAUACCACCUCAGUGAGGGUGCUGGUACUUUUAAAAUGUGGGUUCUAGGAUAUGAGAUCAUCAGGGACAUGCUGGCAGUCUCAGGCCUAGCUUUACGAAAGUUUUUCUUUCAAUUGUAGUGACAUUUUUUUUUCUCAGUAAGUGGAAUUCAAGGUGAAUGCUCUGUGUUUUGUCUAUCUGGUGCUCUCGCUCAUUCCCUUUCUCUCUCUCUCAUUCAACACUGGGGAUUGAAUCCAAGGUCUCACUCAUGCUAAGAAAGCAGUAUUCAACCAAGCUACAGCCAUAACCCUUUUUUAUCAUUUUAUUUUGAGAUAGGUUCUCACUAAGAUGCUCAGGCUGGCCUGGAACUUGUACUGUUCCUCCCUCAGCCUCUAAAGUAGCUGGAAUUAGAGGUUUGUGCUAUUAUGGGCGGUAAGUGAUUUUUAUUCUCAUCAUGGAUUUUAUUUUCAUGUUUUAUUGUAUUUCUGGUAGUUUUGAUUUGGUUUUUUGAGAUGGCCUGGCUAUGUAAUUUAGGCUUGUCUUGAACUAACUACAUAGCCCAGACUGUCCUCAAACUUACGGUGAUCCUCUUGCGUCAGCUUCCAGAGUGCUAGGUGUGCACCAUCACACCUGGCAUUCCUAGUCAUUUUUUGUGUUUUUAAAAAUUUUUUAUUGUAUAGUGAAUUUUACCUUACUAGGUACCACAUUUUGUUUGUUUUCCUGUAAAUAUUUUUGAGCUUUGCUCUGGAAUGUGGUAAAGUUACUUGAAAACACUUUGGUCCUUUUGGAUUGUACUUUUAAGGGUUUUUUUUAGGUGUAACUAGCAUGAAUUUUUCCUCAUUACUGAAGCAAAACCAUAUUUAGCACUUGAUGUUCCAUGAAUUAGGAGAUUUUAUGUUCUAUCUUUUGGGAAUAUAAACUCUUCUUGGUCCUGUGUGAGCCCUUACACUUCUUCUCUAUAAUCCUUUUGGGUAUUCUUUCUUGGAUUUUAUAUAGCUGAUUUACAUGGA